GACUACUAAAAAAACUUCUAGAACCAUCAUUCCACACCCCGACUAGAAUUCGCUACAUUCUCGCCUCUUGAGAAGAAAAAUGGAACAAAAAGGAAAAGGGUGAGCUCAACUAGCCCAGUAAAGAACAUUAUGACUAAGAUAACAUAGAACAAAUUAUCGUUAGUCCUCAACAGGGAAAAAUUUAAUAGAAUACAAUACACAACCAGUUUUAAAUCAAUAUUCGCAGCGG
rnacentral:lncRNA from 1 species